rnacentral:rRNA from 1 species
CGUAGGUGGCAAGCGAUACUCGGAAUCACUAGGCGUAAAGCGCAGGUAGGUGGCUUGGUAAGUCUUUUGUGAAAGCUCCUGGCUCAACUGGGAGAGGUCAAAGGAAACUACUAGGCUAGAGUUUGGUAGGGGAUACUGGAAUUCCUGGUGUAGCGGUGAAAUGCGUAGAUAUCAGGAGGAAUACCUAUGGCGAAAGCAGGUAUCUGGGCCAUAACUGACACUGAGCUGCGAAAGCUAGGGGAGCAAACAGGAUUAGAUACCCUGGUAGUCCUAGCCCUAAACGAUGUUCAUUAGAUGUGGGAGGUAUCGACCCCUUCCGCGUCGCAGCUAACGCAUUAAAUGAACCGCCUGGGGAGUACGGCCGCAAGGUUG